CUAAUCAUUUCAGUCAUUAUGGUAGUAUCACGUUGAAGUGUGAACAUCUUGUGUUCUAUGAAAGCAGGAUUUACAUCAGAACAGGAUACAUUCAUGUAUAUGUCUAUGUACAAGCAAAUCAAGAAUGAAAGCCACAACUUCCAUCAUGAACGCCAACCACAUUCUAUUGCUGUUCUGUGUUCUUUGCCUGCAGAUCAUUACACCAACAUCCAGUUGUCCUGCUGGUCAGUUGAAGCAUGGUAACAAAUGCUGUAGACCAGUUUUUCAUUGUCCAGCAGGU
rnacentral:lncRNA from 1 species